UCACCGGCCAACGAGCUCGACUCGUUCUCCAUCGACUUCAACCGACGAGCUCGGCUCGUUCUCCAUCGACUUCAGCCAACGAGCUCGGCUCGUUCUCCUACCCCGACCACGGCCGGGAUGCCUCGAGACGUCGAGAUGCCCCGAUACGUCGGGAUGCCCCGAUAUGUUGGGAUGCGGUCUUCACCGGCCAACGAGCUCGGCUCGUUCUCCAUCGACUUCAGCCAACGAGCUCGGCUCGUUCUCCUACCUCGACCACAGUCGGGAUGCCCCGAUACGUUGGGAUGCGGUCUUCAUCGACCAGCGAGCUCGGCUCGUUCUAAUCAUCGAAAAGUCCAUGGUUGGCAAUAAGCUGGAUUUCUCUCUGCCGACGUCUCCAAAGAACGGACUCCGAGCAGAGGAGCGUCUUCAGUCGCCUCGACGUAGGAAUGCUCACGGUACCAAGGUACCCAUUUAUUUAAUGUUUUUAUAUUAUCUUAUCUAUUCUUGAAUUUUUCUCUCUGCCGACGUCCCCAAAGAACGGACUCCGAGCAGAGG
rnacentral:lncRNA from 1 species